UUACUCUGGCAUCGAGUAAUGCUGCUCAUUAACUAUGCCCUUGUAGCCGAGCUGCACCAAUCACAUCGGUGUAUCUGAUAUGGGCGGGCCAGAGGUGAGCUAAACAGAGGACGACAGUGCUGCAAUAUCAAAG